GAGUGCAGGUACUUUGCCGUCAGAAUAAUUUGUAGGACCCCGGCGAGCUUGCGGAGCGCCCUCAUUUUCUCCUGUCUUCGCCCCCUCCCUCCCGAAAAGAAGACCCCACUUUUGAAACAAUCAGAACCCGAAGCAUCCGACCAAAGCCAAAGCCCGACGGGCGGCUGUUCUUGUGCUGUCCUUUCUUGCAGUUUAUUCUGGGCCUGUGUGGAAUAGAAAGACAAUUCUUUAUUUGACUGGUAGGGGAGAAGCGAGAAGACUCCUCAGGGUUUCCAAGGAGGACUGGAGCGGCUGCUUUAGUGAAGAAAUGGAGAUUCAAAGAAGUAAAGGACCUGUCUCAAAGUCACAGUACUAGGAAAUCUUGAGGAGUUUGACACUUUUCAUCCUCCUGCCAUUAAUCAUCUUGUGGGGGAAGGCUAUAUGUUGGUGGGAAUAAAAAGCAAGCAGUUCCUGGCCCAUGAUAACUAGUUAAGGGUGUCUGACUGAUGGCAUGUUGGCACCAGCAUUGAAGGAAGUGAUGGGCUUCAGGUCCAGGUUCCUAUCCUGAGACCACAGCAGGAUGUGCCUUGGACAAAGGCUUGGACUCGUGGAUCAUCCAGUGACUUCAAAAUUCUGGUCUCAGGGUGGUGAACUUCUUUGAAUUCCUAACCUGUGAGCCUAUGAUGAUGGUGCCUGCCAACUAACUGAACUACUGUGGUUUUGAACUUCUUGAGGCCAAGGACUGUGUCUGAAAACACAUACAGUGGCUAACACAAGG